UAGGGAAUCUUCCGCAAUGGGCGAAAGCCUGACGGAGCAACGCCGCGUGAGUGAUGAAGGUCUUCGGAUCGUAAAACUCUGUUAUUAGGGAAGAACAAAUGUGUAAGUAACUAUGCACGUCUUGACGGUACCUAAUCAGAAAGCCACGGCUAACUACGUGCCAGCAGCCGCGGUAAUACGUAGGUGGCAAGCGUUAUCCGGAAUUAUUGGGCGUAAAGCGCGCGUAGGCGGUUUUUUAAGUCUGAUGUGAAAGCCCACGGCUCAACCGUGGAGGGUCAUUGGAAACGGGAAAACUUGAGUGCAGAAGAGGAAAGUGGAAUUCCGUGUGUAGCGGUGAAAUGCGCAGAGAUAUGGAGGAACACCAGUGGCGAAGGCGACUUUCUGGUCUGUAACUGACGCUGAUGUGCGAAAGCGUGGGGAUCAAACAGG
rnacentral:rRNA from 1 species